rnacentral:rRNA from 1 species
ACGUAGGGGGCAAGCGUUAUCCGGAUUUACUGGGUGUAAAGGGAGCGUAGACGGCAAGGCAAGUCUGAUGUGAAAGGCUGGGGCUCAACCCCGGGACUGCAUUGGAAACUGUCCUGCUGGAGUGCCGGAGAGGUAAGCGGAAUUCCUAGUGUAGCGGUGAAAUGCGUAGAUAUUAGGAGGAACACCAGUGGCGAAGGCGGCUUACUGGACGGUAACUGACGUUGAGGCUCGAAAGCGUGGGGAGCAAACAG